GAUGAACGCUGGCGGCGUGCCUAAUACAUGCAAGUCGAGCGAACAGAUGAGGAGCUUGCUCCUCUGACGUUAGCGGCGGACGGGUGAGUAACACGUGGAUAACCUACCUAUAAGACUGGGAUAACUUCGGGAAACCGGAGCUAAUACCGGAUAAUAUAUUGAACCGCAUGGUUCAAUAGUGAAAGACGGUUUUGCUGUCACUUAUAGAUGGAUCCGCGCCGCAUUAGCUAGUUGGUAAGGUAACGGCUUACCAAGGCAACGAUGCGUAGCCGACCUGAGAGGGUGAUCGGCCACACUGGAACUGAGACACGGACCAGACUCCUACGGGAGGCAGCAGUAGGGAAUCUUCCGCAAUGGGCGAAAGCCUGACGGAGCAACGCCGCGUGAGUGAUGAAGGUCUUCGGAUCGUAAAACUCUGUUAUCAGGGAAGAACAAAUGUGUAAGUAACUGUGCACGUCUUGACGGUACCUGAUCAGAAAGCCACGGCUAACUACGUG
rnacentral:rRNA from 1 species